rnacentral:rRNA from 1 species
CCUACGGGUGGCUGCAGUGGGGAAUAUUGGGCAAUGGGCGCAAGCCUGACCCAGCAACGCCGCGUGAAGGAAGAAGGCUUUCGGGUUGUAAACUUCUUUUAUCAGGGACGAAGCAAGUGACGGUACCUGAUGAAUAAGCCACGGCUAACUACGUGCCAGCAGCCGCGGUAAUACGUAGGUGGCGAGCGUUAUCCGGAUUUACUGGGUGUAAAGGGCGUGUAGGCGGGAAUGCAAGUCAGAUGUGAAAACUAUGGGCUCAACCCAUAGCCUGCAUUUGAAACUGUAUUUCUUGAGUGCUGGAGAGGCAAUCGGAAUUCCGUGUGUAGCGGUGAAAUGCUUAGAUAUCACGAAGAACCCCGAUUGCGAAGGCAGCCUGCCGCAGCGUUACUGACGCUGAAGCUCGAAAGCGCGGGUAUCGAACAGGAUUAGAUACCCCUGUAGUC